CGGACGGGUGAGUAACACGUGGAUAACCUACCUAUAAGACUGGGAUAACUUCGGGAAACCGGAGCUAAUACCGGAUAAUAUAUUGAACCGCAUGGUUCAAUAGUGAAAGACGGUUUUGCUGUCACUUAUAGAUGGAUCCGCGCCGCAUUAGCUAGUUGGUAAGGUAACGGCUUACCAAGGCAACGAUGCGUAGCCGACCUGAGAGGGUGAUCGGCCACACUGGAACUGAGACACGGUCCAGACUCCUACGGGAGGCAGCAGUAGGGAAUCUUCCGCAAUGGGCGAAAGCUUGACGGAGCAACGCCGCGUGAGUGAUGGAGGUCUUCGGAUCGUAAAACUCUGUUAUUAGGGAAGAACAAAUGUGUAAGUAACUAUGCACGUCUUGACGGUACCUAAUCAGAAAGCCACGGCUAACUACGUGCCAGCAGCCGCGGUAAUACGUAGGUGGCAAGCGUUAUCCGGAAUUAUUGGGCGUAAAGCGCGCGUAGGCGGUUUUUUAAGUCUGAUGUGAAAGCCCACGGCUCAACCGUGGAGGGUCAUUGGAAACUGGAAAACUUGAGUGCAGAAGAGGAAAGUGGAAUUCCAUGUGUAGCGGUGAAAUGCGCAGAGAUAUGGAGGAACACCAGUGGCGAAGGCGACUUUCUGGUCUGUAACUGACGCUGAUGUGCGAAAGCGUGGGGAUCAAACAGGAUUAGAUAACCUGGUAGUCCACGCCGUAAACGAUGAGUGCUAAGUGUUAGGGGGUUUCCGCCCCUU
rnacentral:rRNA from 1 species